GACGAACGCUGGCGGCGUGCUUAACACAUGCAAGUCGAACGGAAAGGCCCUGCUUUUGUGGGGUGCUCGAGUGGCGAACGGGUGAGUAACACGUGAGUGACCUGCCCUUGACUUUGGGAUAACUUCAGGAAACUGGGGCUAAUACCGGAUAGGAGCUCCUGCUGCAUGGUGGGGGUUGGAAAGUUUCGGCGGUUGGGGAUGGACUCGCGGCUUAUCAGCUUGUUGGUGGGGUAGUGGCUUACCAAGGCUUUGACGGGUAGCCGGCCUGAGAGGGUGACCGGCCACAUUGGGACUGAGAUACGGCCUAGACUCCUACGGGAGGCAGCAGUGGGGAAUAUUGCACAAUGGGCGGAAGCCUGAUGCAGCAACGCCGCGUGCGGGAUGACGGCCUUCGGGUUGUAAACCGCUUUCGCCUGUGACGAAGCGUGAGUGACGGUAAUGGGUAAAGAAGCACCGGCUAACUACGUG
rnacentral:rRNA from 1 species